AUGGACUACGAGCGCAUCCACGACCCGCCCCACCGCCAGUCGGGCGGAUUCUCGCCGGCCAAGCUGCGAGCGAUGCUUCUCGGGCUCGAGAAGCACCAGCACUCCGGCGAGGACACCUCGCCCGAGGCCAACGACUCCGGCGAGCUCGACGACCGGAGGAGCUUGGAAUGCUCCACCUCCACCGAGAUGUCCAGCAACAGCGGCCACAGAUCAAGGAACCGGGCUCCGGAGGACGACAGCUUCGACUCCGAGAGCAGCUCUUCGGGGCCGACAACGGUUAAGAGGGCCGCGGCGGUGUCUGCUCUGCUGCCGCCGUUCUCUAGACCGACGCCGUCGAAAUGGGACGACGCCGAGAAGUGGAUUUCGAGCCCGACGGCGAACCGUACUGGCCGUGUGAUGACCGCCGCAGGGUUUGCGCCGAAGAAGACGGCAUUUGCUUUACCUGAGCACGGUGCCUGCCCGCCAGCCGCUGCUAAGGUGGUCGCCGAGGUGCCGAGAAACACCGGAACAUUGACUGAUAAUUCAGUUGGUUCCACGCAGCCCGAUUCAAUCAAACCUGCAGAAACUGCCCCAAUAGUCGACGAACCAGAACACGUAAUUCGGUCUGUCUCGAUGAGAGAUAUGGGAACAGAAAUGACUCCGAUUGCCAGCCAGGAGCCCUCUCGGACUGGGACUCCGAUAAUAGCAUCCAGCCCUACCUCCACUAGGACGCCAACUCCUAACCGGAGCGUAGAAUUUGGUGUUGGUACAAUUGAUUCCAGCAAGAUGGGCAUGUCUGAGGAGGAGCUACAGUUGAAUACCAGGAAGGAAAUCAUGGAUCUAGGCGAACGGCUAGGCAAGACGACCAUAGCUGCAUGGGCAAGCAAGGAAGAGAGAGCUACCGCAAAUUUCGCAAAUGUUCCAGCUGAUAAGGCUGUAGAAAUCGACAGAGAGACCCGUGCUGCAGAUUGGCACGAGGCAGAGAAAGCAAAGUAUCUUGCAAGGUUUCAGAGGGAAGAGGUAAAGAUCCAAGCUUGGGAAAAUCACCAGAGAGCAAAAAUUGAAGCUGAAAUGAAGAGCAUAGAGGCGAAGAUGGAAAGAAAGCGAGCUCGCGAGCACGACAGGCUUGCGAGGAAGCUGGCAUCAGCGAGGAGCAGAGCAGAGGCGAAGAGGGAGGCCGCGGAGGCGAGGAGGAGCCAAGAAGCGGAGCGAACGGAUGAGCAGGCGGCGCAGAUCCGUAAGACCGGGCACAUACCUUCCUCAAUCUCCUGCUGGUGCUGGUGCCUAUGA
rnacentral:rRNA from 1 species